rnacentral:rRNA from 1 species
GACGGGGGGGGCAAGUGUUCUUCGGAAUGACUGGGCGUCAAGGGCACGUAGGCGGUGAAUCGGGUUGAAAGUGAAAGUCGCCAAAAAGUGGCGGAAUGCUCUCGAAACCAAUUCACUUGAGUGGGACAGAGGAGAGUGGAAUUUCGUGUGUAGGGGUGAAAUCCGUAGAUCUACGAAGGAAGGCCAAAAGCGAAGGCAGCUCUCUGGGUCCCUACCGACGCUAGGGUGCGAAAGCAUGGGGAGCGAACAGG